ensembl:snRNA U6 U6 spliceosomal RNA
GGACAUUUGUCACGCUCGGACACUAAAAUUGGAAUGAUCCAGAGAAGAUUGGCAUGGUGGUCCCUGUGCAAGGACGACAUGCAAAUUUUUGAAGGAUGUUAGGAUAUU